AUCAGAGAGCAGGCAGAGAGGUGCUGGGAAAGGAGAUACACCCUUCCGAGUCAGCCCCCAGGGGACCUGUUUCUUCUGACCAAAUCUAGCCUCCCCAAGGCAAGUCAGCUAUUCCAUCCUCAUAAUCCAGUCACCUUUCAAACACUGAGUCUUUGUUUCCAUUUGAAUUUGGAACAAUAGCAGUAAGUCUCAGCAUCUAUUGACAAAUCACAAACAUCGAGCCUGUAUUCCACAUAGUGGCCACCAAGCAGACGUAAGCAGCAAAAUGGGCAGUGAGCUACAUGUUGCCUUGUUCUCCUCUUUUACCUUCAACAGAGGGCUGAUUUCUACAGGCAUGGAGGUGUGAGCUCCUUAAUCCCUUCAUGGAUUUCUGCUGCUAUUACUCAGGCUCUUUCACUGAUUUGGCCUAGAUCCCCAGCACUUGCUAGAGCCCAAGACCCAGUGAGCAAGUAUAACAGAGAAGAGUCAUCAGUGGCCAGAUCUGCAGCUAUCUACGGGUCAGCAGCAGGUAAUGAAGGACCUUGAACAUUAGCGCAUCAAGUGGG
rnacentral:lncRNA from 1 species